AUUGAACGCUGGCGGCAGGCCUAACACAUGCGAGUCGAACGGUAACAGGAAGAAGCUUGCUUCUUUGCUGACGAGUGGCGGACGGGUGAGUAAUGUCUGGGAAACUGCCUGAUGGAGGGGGAUAACUACUGGAAACGGUAGCUAAUACCGCAUAACGUCGCAAGACCAAAGAGGGGGACCUUCGGGCCUCUUGCCAUCGGAUGUGCCCAGAUGGGAUUAGCUAGUAGGUGGGGUAACGGCUCACCUAGGCGACGAUCCCUAGCUGGUCUGAGAGGAUGACCAGCCGCACUGGAACUGAGACACGGUCCAGACUCCUACGGGAGGCAGCAGUGGGGAAUAUUGCACAAUGGGCGCAAGCCUGAUGCAGCCAUGCCGCGUGUAUGAAGAAGGCCUUCGGGUUGUAAAGUACUUUCAGCGGGGAGGAAGGGAGUAAAGUUAAUACCUUUGCUCAUUGACGUUACCCGCAGAAGAAGCACCGGCUAACUCCGUG
rnacentral:rRNA from 1 species